AGGGGUGUAGUUCAAUGGUAGAACUAAGGUCUCCAAAACCUUUAAUGCGGGUUCGAUUCCUGUCACCCCUGCCA
rnacentral:tRNA from 1 species